GGGCUCGAUUCGGCAGCACAUAUACUAAAAUUGGAAUGAUACAGAGAAGAUUAACAUAGCCCCUGCACAAGGAUGACACACAAAUUUGUGAAGCAUUCCAUAUUUUU
rnacentral:snRNA from 1 species